CCUACGGGAGGCAGCAGUGGGGAAUUUUGCGCAAUGGGCGAAAGCCUGACGCAGCAACGCCGCGUGAGUGAUGAAGGCCUUCGGGUCGUAAAGCUCUGUCGAGGGGAAAGAAGUGUAUUGUGGCUAAUAUCCACGAUACUUGACGGUACCCCUAAAGGAAGCACCGGCU
rnacentral:rRNA from 1 species